UCAGCAUGCAAGCAAAAUCAAAAGUAACUGCAGUAGUCUAAUCCCUUUUGAAUAAGAUGUGUGGAGGGUUCCAAAGUUAAUAGGGGGUGGAUGCUGGACUCAGUCCAUUUGAGUAAACAAAGCUCAAAAACGAGCUGAGUUAUUACAUGGAAGAAAAACAACCUUACCCAUGAUUUACUAACAACAGUAAUUGCUCCAGACUCCUACAGGAGAGGGCAUAUCCAGUGUGAAAUGUAGCCUGCAUUCUGCCACACCAGCUCCAAGC